AGAGUUUGAUCCUGGCUCAGGACGAACGCUGGCGGCGUGCCUAAUACAUGCAAGUAGAACGCUGAAGAAAGGAGCUUGCUUCUUUUGGAUGAGUUGCGAACGGGUGAGUAACGCGUAGGUAACCUGCCUUGUAGCGGGGGAUAACUAUUGGAAACGAUAGCUAAUACCGCAUAACAGCUUUUGACACAUGUUAGAAGCUUGAAAGAUGCAAUUGCAUCACUACGAGAUGGACCUGCGUUGUAUUAGCUAGUAGGUAGGGUAACGGCCUACCUAGGCGACGAUACAUAGCCGACCUGAGAGGGUGAUCGGCCACACUGGGACUGAGACACGGCCCAGACUCCUACGGGAGGCAGCAGUAGGGAAUCUUCGGCAAUGGGGGCAACCCUGACCGAGCAACGCCGCGUGAGUGAAGAAGGUUUUCGGAUCGUAAAGCUCUGUUGUAAGAGAAGAACGUGUGUGAGAGUGGAAAGUUCACGCAGUGACGGUAACUUACCAGAAAGGGACGGCUAACUACGUGCCAGCAGCCGCGGUAAUACGUAGGUCCCGAGCGUUGUCCGGAUUUAUUGGGCGUAAAGCGAGCGCAGGCGGUUUAAUAAGUCUGAAGUUAAAGGCAGUGGCUUAACCAUUGUUCGCUUUGGAAACUGUUAAACUUGAGUGCAGAAGGGGAGAGUGGAAUUCCAUGUGUAGCGGUGAAAUGCGUAGAUAUAUGGAGGAACACCGGCGGCGAAAGCGGCUCUCUGGUCUGUAACUGACGCUGAUGCUCGAAAGCGUGGGGAGCAAACAGGAUUAGAUACCCUGUAGUCCACGCCGUAACGAUGAGUGCUAGGUGUUAGGCCCUUUCCGGGGCUUAGUGCCGCAGCUAACGCAUUAAGCACUCCGCCUGGGGAGUACGACCGCAAGUUGAAACUCAAAGGAAUUGACGG
rnacentral:rRNA from 1 species